ACCAUUUAUAAAUAAAACAAUUCAAUUACAAUGGGCCAAAUUCGGGUUUUUUAGCCCGAUCACUAAAAGAAACCCUAGACAUUCAGCCCUAGCACGAGCGCCGCAACAGCUUCCAGCGAUGUUCUCCCCAUGCCUCCAUGCGCUGCGUCGUGCCACAUCAUCGUACGGCCAUUCCUGCAACAAGCGAAAGACGAACAACGCAACACCAAACAAAAAAAGGACAGAUAACAGUUGUAAAAAAUUCAGAUUUUGAUUAUUUCUUUUGGAUUUUUCGGCACUAUAAAGGCCGAUUUAAAAAAAUCUGUAAAGGAAGAGACCCACGAAUAUUGUAUGAAAGUUUUUUAAAAAGAAAGGCAAUAGAAAGAAACAGUUUCAAGAAAGGUGAUUGGAAAUUUAUUUUAUUUUGAUUUCUUCUUUCUUUUUUGCUUCUUCAAUGUUAGUUUUAGAUUUCUUGUUUGCAAAAGAGAAAAUAAAGGGAAAUAAAGGAGAAGGUUACCUGGUAACGCCUUCAGAUCCGCGCGAGGAGGAGCUAAAAAGCCCCUAGAGGUGCAGCUCCGACCACUGUUGAGUGUAAUCGCAGCGGAGAUGUGGUGUACUGACGGCGGUGAAGGCUAGGGUCAAAACCUUAACUGAGAAAACAAGAAGCAAAUUUUUUUUUAAAC
rnacentral:lncRNA from 1 species